AGAUAUGCGAACGUUCGUGAUGAUCUUUUGCUUUCCUUCUGAUACUGACGUUUAAGAUAUCUGUAUCAACGAAAUCAGCAAAGAAAGGGAGAAAAAAAAAAAAAACAAGGAAUCAAAAGCUCCACUUUUUAAGAAGCACAACUAAGUUUCCCCGCAAUCAUCACAGUAAGCAUGGAAGGGUAGACAGAAUCAGCAACUUACCCGACUCCAUCCUCCAUCACAUUCUCUCCCUGAUGCCUUUCAGAGACGCAGUGCGAACCAGCACCCUGGCCAAGUCGGGCAUGGACUUCGACCAGCGUCUCAUCUACUGCCACAGCUCCUCGACUUUUUCAACGCCAUCUCGGGGGAUUUUAGGCUGCUUAUGGGCCUAUUAUAACCUGAAGCUUGAGGCAACCGUCUUCAUGGACUACGUCGACCGCGGUUUGCACCUCCGCAAUGGCCUCAAUAUCAAAACAAUGCCUCUUUCUUUCAAUGCCCUGUGUCCCGUGUUGAUUCUUCUAUCAGGUUCGGGGCUCGAGGGGGGCCGGCCCAAGCCUUGGGCGACCUAGCCCCGGCCCAAAGAAAGGCCCACGCCCGACAGUGACUCCUAUCUCCUAGCUACGGAUCCGUAGAGGUAGAGGCGCAGAGCCAACGGCUACUUCGACAAGACGACUGAGCCACUGAGGGUGAGUCGCCGCGACGCCGUCCGAAUCCCAUCGCCCAUCGUCCCUUUCUUUAAAACCCUCAUCGUCCUCCACUCCUCCUCUAUCCUCAUCGUUCCUGAGCUCCUCUUCUGCAGCUCUGCUUCAGUCUUCACCGACCACUCACCGGCGCGGUCGUCUCCUCCACCUCCCCGGCAUCCCCCGGCUGCAGCACCGCCUGUGCCCACCUUCAUCUCCCGCGACCUCCUCGCCUCCCUCCCGUCCCCUGACUCCCGUCUUCUUCACGUCAGCCCGCUGCACUUUUUGCAUCCUGGGCGUUCUCGAAUCUCAACGGUUGUGUCUUCGGCCUCUUCUCCAACUCCACCCGUCAGUCUCCGGCACCGCUUCUCGCCGUCGAGUUCGGCCUUGCUUUGUUGGGACUUGAGUUUGUUUUUUUUGACAUUAUCAAGUUUUAUCAUUUUCAACUCUUUUAUAUUUUGAUUUGUUUGUGGUGAUUGUCUUAAUUGCUUUUUUUGAUAAUAUAAUUUUUAGAUUCAAAUGUCUAAUAGAAAAUAUGAAUGUGGGUAUGAAAAACUCAAAAAGAAAAGAAAAAUCGAAGAACUCAUUCAAUCUCAAAAAGAAGCUCUAGAUAGAUUUGUUAUCACAGACAAACAAAACACUACAUCAAGUUCAACUCAGGAAUUAGCAACAAAACAAGCACCCAAAAUAGAGUUAGAAGAUGACAUGAAAAGAAGAACUAAACAAAAUGAGAUUGACAACCAGAUUCGUAGUGAAGAACACAAUGAGGAAUUAGAUGGAGAUAGUAUAAAUAAAGAUAGUGUAGAGCUUAAUAAAACUAGUUCUAUUUCUACAAAUAUAUACGAUCCUGGUCAAUGGAAACAGAUCGAUACAAAGUUGAGAGAUAUAUUAGUGGAAAGAGGUCCAAUUAGAGAUUAUGAUCUUCAUUUUCCUAGGGAUGAAAAUAAUAGACACUUCUCUACGCUACAUUAUAUUUGUAAAUUACCUAAUGGUGAAAAACAUAAUAGAAGAUGGUUAGUGUAUUCGAAGGAUUUGGAUAGGGUAUAUUGUUUUUGUUGUAAAUUAUUUGAUUCAACGCCUAACACGAAUCACUUAGUCAAUGAAGGAAUUAGAAAUUGGAAAAAUCUAGGUAUUAUACUCAAAAGUCAUGAAACAACUAAUGAACAUAUUACUAGCAUGAAUAAGUGGAUUGACUUAGAAGUAAUAUUGUUGAAAAACAAGACAAUUGACAAAAGUCUCCAAGAACAAAUAAACCAAGAGAAAGAUCAUUGGAAAAAAGUACUAUUGAGAAUUAUUGCUGUCGUGAAAAAUCUUGCAAAAAAUAAUUUAGCAUUUCAGGAAAAGAAUGAAGAGAUCUAUCAAAGCAAUAAAGAAACUUUUCUAAGCCUUAUUAAAAUGAUUGCAGAAUUUGAUCCAGUAAUGCAAGAACAUGUUCGACGCAUUCAACAUAGAAAAAUUCACAAUCAUUAUUUAGGUCAUAAUAUUCAAAAUGAAUUGAUUAAAAUGUUGGCAUAUGAAAUUAAAACUACAAUAAUCAAAAAGAUUAAAGAAGUAAAAUAUUUUUCUUUAAUACUUGAUUGCUCUCCUGAUGCAAGCCAUCAAGAACAAAUGACCCUAGUUUUAAGAUGUGUAGAUACUUCAACAAGUCCAGUAAAAGUAGAAGAAUAUUUUUUAGAAUUUUUAGAAGUACAUGAUACAUCUGGAAAAGGCAUUUUUAGCGAACUUAUAAAUAUAAUAGAAAAACAUAAACUUGAGGUUAAUGAUAUAAGAGGACAAGGGUAUGACAAUGGGUCUAAUAUGAAAGGAAAACAUCAAGGUGUACAAAAAAGAUUAUUGGGUAUAAAUCCUAGAGCAUUUUACACACCAUGUGGAUGUCAUAACUUGAAUUUAGUAUUAUGUGAUAGUGCUAACUCAUGUCCUAAGGCUAUAUCUUUUUUUGGAGUGAUACAACGAAUUUAUACAUUAUUUUCUUUUUCUACAAAACGAUGGAAAAUUUUACAAGAUAAUGUACCCACAUUGACUUUUAAACCCUUGUCACAGAUACGUUGGGAAAGUCAUAUUGAAAGUGUUAAAGCAAUUAAAAGCCAAACUCCUAAAAUAAGAGAUGCAUUAGUUCAAUUAGCGGAAACUAGUGAAGAUCCUAAAACAAAGAGUGAAGCCACAUGCUUAGCUACAUAUGAGAUUGAGAAUUUUGAAUUCUUAUUGGGCAUAAAUAUUUGGUAUGAUAUCUUGUUUGCUGUUAACUCAGUUAGUAAGAACUUACAAUCUGAAAACAUGCAUAUUGAUGUUGCUAUCAAUCAAUUAAAAUAUCUUCUUUCUUAUUUGAAAAGUUAUAAGGAAAAUGGAUUCAUAACUGCUUUGAAUAAAUCUAAAGAAAUGGCAAAUGAAAUGAAAAUAGAACCUACAUUUCGUGAAGAACGUGUGAUCCGUAGAAAAAAAUAAUUUGAUAAAAAUAGUGAUGAUGAGAUAGCAAGAUCAGCCGAAGAAUCUUUUAGAAUUGAUUACUUUUUAUAUAUAGUAGAUCAAGCUAUUUCUUUAAUUCAAAAUACGUUUGAACAAUUCACCAUAUACGAAAAUAUUUUUGGUUUUUUGUUUAAUUUUAGAAAGUUAAAAUCUUUGAAUGAAGAGGAUUUGAAAAAAUGUUGUCUUAAUCUUGAAAACUUUUUAAAGCAUGGAGAAUAUUCUGAUAUUGAUGGUCUUGAUUUGUUUUCAGAGUUAAAAGUUUUAAAAGAAGUUUUACAAACAGAAACUAGUACCCCUAUUGAUACUUUAAGUUUUAUAAAAAAAACAAAUUCUUUUCCAAAUGCAUGCAUUGCUUAUAGAAUAUUGUUAACAAUACCUGUAACAGUUGCUUCUGUUGAAAGAAGUUUUUCAAAAUUAAAGUUGAUAAAAUCUUAUUUGCGAUCAACUAUGUCACAAGAAAGAUUAAAUGGAUUAGCUAUAUUAUCGAUUGAAAAUAGUAUUUUAAUGAAUCUUGAGUAUAAAAGUUUGAUUAGUAAUUUUGCAUCUCAAAAAGCUAGACGAAUUAUUUUUAAAUAAAAUUUUAAAGUAUUUUACACUUAUUAAAAAAAAAUUACCAUUUUUUUUCUAAAAAAAAGACCUCUCUUAGUGAGUUUGUUUUAGGCCCCCAAAUGCAUUGGGCCGCCCCUGCUCGAGGCAAUGUUGAAGAGCUCCACGUCUCAAUCUCUAGGGACCAUUAUACGCGCCUCCCCUACUUGCAUGAUUCCUUCUCCGCCUGCAACUCCCUUCAGGUACUGAAGCUGAGAUAUGGUUAAUUUCUUAUAUUAUUUGCCGGUGUUUAGCUCGCUGGAGACAUUGUGCUUGGAAAAUAUUUUCUUUACGGGCCAUGGCUACUUCUCAUCUAGGGCUAACAAUGAUAUACUACAAGCAUCCAAGUUGGAAGGCCAUGCUGUUUUUGAUUUUGCAAUCUACCCUAGGCAUAAGAAAAUGACCCUUGAUUCGUGCCAUUGGCACGCUCUCUUGCACCCUGAAUAUUGGUUGUCCAACGCUUGAAGAGCUGAACUUGAUGGGAAAUGGUGGAUUAAAAGAUAUUAACAUCGCUGCUAAAGGAUUGAAAAAGGUUGUGCAUGGCGAGGUCACUCAUUCAAGAUCUCCGAUGCUCGAACUCUCAGGUCGUUCAGGUGGCUGAGAAGUAGCACUGCUGCCUUAUCUGUUCCUCUUGCAGACUUUAUAUGUCCUCUGUGAUUCAACUUGGCAAUGUAAGCCAUUCCAUACUUGCCCUUCCCACACGUGGCAGUGUAAUGAAGCUUCUACAUGUUGCUGCUCAAGCUCAUGUUUUAGAGCUGACUGAGAGUUGUCUCAAGUUAAGCCUUAACAGCAGGAUGGAGCUUGCCUAACUGUGCCACAAGGUCUUACAAUCAGUAGUGCCACAGCUGAAGCAACUUGAAGUUCCCAAAUCAUACAGAUUGGAUUUGGACCUGUUAAAAUUCAUUGAUUGAUUGAUUAUGCCAAACUUUGUCAGCCUUCUAGUCUAUAUAAAGGUUGCUCCAGUACAUUGUAAUAGAUAGGCAGAAAUACAAUUUUUUUUCCUUAUUCUUCUUUUUCAAUAGGACCAACUGCUUUUCUGAACACUAAAUGCUAAGAUGCUAUGAGCUUUAGCACUAAAGAAGCAACUCUUUGCUUUUCUUUCUAAUAUGCACAUUGUAAAUCUUAAGUUGGAGUUUUUUUCUUCCUUUUCGAGCAGAGGAAAAUCUUAAAUUGGAGCAAUUUUACAGCAAGAAAGUAAACUAUCUUGUUGUGGCUACUUGUUGAGAAUGUUUGCUUGAUAAACGAAUGGAAUCACCUUUUUCAUCUUUUCCAUCAACCGGCUUUAUACUUGCUGUUCUUUAUAUUCCUAGGUACUCUCUUACAACGAGGAUCCAACUGAUCAACUCCCCACUUUUCACAAUGCCCCUUGCCUGAAGCUCAAAAUGGAUGCAGUUAUCUUAUUCCCCGUUUGUAGAAGGCGUUCCUUUUUAGAAACUCUUAGUCAUUCGAUUUGUGGACAAACCAAAGGAGAACUGGCCCUGGCCCUUAUGCAAUAUGUAUGAUGAGCCUCAAGAGACGAGCUUGGAUUGCUUGUCCCAUCACCUCAAGAGAGUAGAAGUCAUGGACCAUGUAGGCCGGAAACAGGAACUUAAAACCGCAGCCACUUGCUGAAGGAAUGCAGUGAAGUUAGAGAACUGGAUCCUUCACCUUCCCCAAAAGCUACACGAUAAUGUCAAUUUUCUAGAGGGUCCCCAAAUUCUUUUUGAUUGCCCAAGAGUUUCACCAAAUGUUGUAAUUUCACUCAUCUGAUUGUUGGUGCUGCAGUAAGAUUGAAACUUAGGGAGCUCCAUAUUUUUUUCAAAUUAGUUUUUUUUUCCUGUUAAGAAUUUAGUUUGGAACUCCUGGCAGUUAGAAGGGAACUUCAAAACGGCCGGGAACUUGAGAAUAUUGAGUAGAAACCUGUUUGUUUAAGAGUAUCCAAUUGAAACUGGUGAUAA